rnacentral:tRNA from 1 species
GGUCUAUUAGCUCAGUCGGUAGAGCACCUGACUUUUAAUCAGGGUGUCCCGCGUUCGAGCCCUGUUGGUCCC